UAGAGUUUGAUCCUGGCUCAGAUUGAACGCUGGCGGCAGGCCUAACACAUGCAAGUCGAGCGGUAGAGAGAAGCUUGCUUCUCUUGAGAGCGGCGGACGGGUGAGUAAUGCCUAGGAAUCUGCCUGGUAGUGGGGGAUAACGUUCGGAAACGGACGCUAAUACCGCAUACGUCCUACGGGAGAAAGCAGGGGACCUUCGGGCCUUGCGCUAUCAGAUGAGCCUAGGUCGGAUUAGCUAGUUGGUGAGGUAAUGGCUCACCAAGGCGACGAUCCGUAACUGGUCUGAGAGGAUGAUCAGUCACACUGGAACUGAGACACGGUCCAGACUCCUACGGGAGGCAGCAGUGGGGAAUAUUGGACAAUGGGCGAAAGCCUGAUCCAGCCAUGCCGCGUGUGUGAAGAAGGUCUUCGGAUUGUAAAGCACUUUAAGUUGGGAGGAAGGGCAGUUGCCUAAUACGUAACUGUUUUGACGUUACCGACAGAAUAAGCACCGGCUAACUCUGUGCCAGCAGCCGCGGUAAUACAGAGGGUGCAAGCGUUAAUCGGAAUUACUGGGCGUAAAGCGCGCGUAGGUGGUUUGUUAAGUUGGAUGUGAAAUCCCCGGGCUCAACCUGGGAACUGCAUUCAAAACUGACUGACUAGAGUAUGGUAGAGGGUGGUGGAAUUUCCUGUGUAGCGGUGAAAUGCGUAGAUAUAGGAAGGAACACCAGUGGCGAAGGCGACCACCGGACGAUACGACACGAGGGCGAAAGCUUGAGGUUACUAC
rnacentral:rRNA from 1 species